UGCUCCMUGAUUAAAUUUAAAUAGCUGCAGAAUAUUAACUGUACAAAGGUAGCAUAAUCAAUAGUUUUUUAAUUGAAAGCUGGAAUGAAUGAUUUAAUAAGGUAAAUAUUGUCUCAAUUUUAAUAAAAUUAGAAUUUUUUUUUUAGUAAAAAUACUAAAUUAAAUUUAAAAGACGAGAAGACCCUAUAGAUUUUUAUAAUUUUAGUUAAUAAAAUUUUAAUUAAAAAAAAAAAUAAAUUUUAAUAAAAAAUUAUUUGGUUGGGGAAAUUAUUAAAUUAAAUUAAUUUUAAUUGUUUUUAAACAAAAAUUAUUGAAUAUUAGAUCUUUAUUAAAAAUUAAAAGAAUAAAAUACCUUAGGGAUAACAGCGUAAUUUUUUUGGAGAGAUCUUAUUGAUAAAAAAGUUUGCGACCUCGAUGUUGAAUUAAGAUAAAAUUUUAAUGAARAAGU
rnacentral:rRNA from 1 species